AUGAUAGCUGCUGAUUUCAAUGAGAUCUUGUACUCCCAUGAAAAGGAGGGUGGCGCGCCGAGGCCAAUGCACAUGAUGCAGAAUUUUCGAGAUGCCCUUGUUGAUUGCGAGCUGGAGGAUAUGGGAUGCAGCGGGGAUCUAUAUACUUGGAGGAGGAGGAGACUCAGAGAAUGGCUUGACAGGUCGGUGUGCAAUGGCCAGUUCCGAGGACUCUUUCCUAACACAAAGGUCACAAAUACCGCACAUAUAAAGUUGGAUCACAUACCCCUAUUCAUUGAUACUGAGGGAGAUGUGCAGGUGGAUUCCCAACAAACCCAUCGAAAGUGUUUUGAGUCCAGGUGGCUGCAAGAAGGGAACAUUAUGCAAUUAGUGUCUAAAGCUUGGGAACGAUCAGAUCCAACGGCGCCAAUUGCAGAACGAACAGCUGAGUGUUAA
rnacentral:rRNA from 1 species